CCCUGGGUUAGUCGGGACCUAAGCUGAGGCCGAAAGGCGUAGGUGAUGGACAACAGGUUGAUAUUCCUGUACUACCGAUAACCGUUUGAGAGAAGGGAUGACACAGUAGGAUAAGCUAAGCACACUGUUGGUUAUGUGUGCCCAAGCAUUGAGGCAGUCAAAGUAGGCAAAUCCGCUUUGAUAAUGCUGGGAUGUGAUGGGGAGCGAAAUUUAGUAGCGAAGUAGCUGAUUUCACACUGUCAAGAAAAGUCUCUAUCGAGGUUAAAGGUACCCGUACCGCAAACCGACACAGGUGGGUGAGGAGAGUAUCCUAAGGCCAGCGAGAGAACUGUUGUUAAGGAACUCGGCAAAAUGACCCCGUAACUUAGGGAUAAGGGGUGCCACCAUCAGGUGGCCGCAGAGAAUAGGCCCAAGCGACUGUUUACCAAAAACAUAGGUUUCUGCUAAGUCGCAAGACGAUGUAUAGGAGCUGACGCCUGCCCGGUGCUGGAAGGUUAAGGGGAUCUGUUAGAGCAAUCGAAGCAGUGAACUUAAGCCCCAGUAAACGGCGGCCGUAACUAUAACGGUCCUAAGGUAGCGAAAUUCCUUGUCGGGUAAGUUCCGACCCGCACGAAAGGCGUAACGAUUUGGGCACUGUCUCAACAACAGACUCGGUGAAAUUGUAAUUCCGGUGAAGAUGCCGGAUACCUGCGACAGGACGGAAAGACCCCAUGGAGCUUUACUGUAGCUUGACAUUGGGUCUUGGUACUACAUGUACAGGAUAGGUGGGAGGCUUUGAAACCAGGACGCCAGUUUUGGCGGAGCCAUCCUUGGGAUACCACCCUUGUA
rnacentral:rRNA from 1 species